rnacentral:rRNA from 1 species
CUACGGGGGGCUGCAGUGAGGAAUAUUGCACAAUGGGGUGAACCCUGAUGCAGCAACGCCGCGUGGAGGAUGACGCAUUUCGGUGUGUAAACUCCUUUUAUAUGUCAAGAAAAUGACGGUAGCAUAUGAAUAAGCACCGGCUAACUCCGUGCCAGCAGCCGCGGUAAUACGGAGGGUGCAAGCGUUACUCGGAAUCACUGGGCGUAAAGGACGCGUAGGCGGGUUGGAAAGUCAGGUGUGAAAUCCUACGGCUUAACUGUAGAACUGCACUUGAAACUUCUAAUCUAGAGUAUGGGAGGGGGAGAUGGAAUUAGUGGUGUAGGGGUAAAAUCCGUAGAUAUCACUAGGAAUACCUAAAGCGAAGGCGAUCUCCUGGAACAUUACUGACGCUAAGGCGUGAAAGCGUGGGGAGCAAACAGGAUUAGAUACCCCUGUAGUC